CCUACGAGUGGCAGCAGUGAGGAAUAUUGGUCAAUGGGAGAGAUCCUGAACCAGCCAAGCCGCGUGAGGGCAGACUGCCCUAUGGGUUGUAAACCUCUUUUGUCGGAGAACAAGACCCGGGGAGUGUCCCGGCCUGCGUGUACCCGAAGAAAAAGCAUCGGCUAACUACGUGCCAGCCGCCGCGGUAAUACGGAGGAUGCGAGCGUUAUCCGGUUUUAUUGGGGUUAAAGGGUGCGUAGGCGGUCCGUUAAGUCAGCGGUAAAAUUGCGGGGUUCAAACCCGUCGAGCCGUUGAAACGGGCAGACUUGAGUUGUCGAGAAGUACGCGGAAUGCGCGGUGUAGCGGUGAAAUGCAUAGAUAUCGCGCAGAACUCCGAGUGCGAAGGCAGCGUACCGGCGCCAGACUGACGCUGAGGCACGAAAGCGUGGGGAUCGAACAGGAUUAGAUACCCCUGGAGUC
rnacentral:rRNA from 1 species